CAAGGAAUUUUCCGCAAUGGGGGAAACCCUGACGGAGCAACGCCGCGUGAGUGAUGAAGCCUUUCGGGGUGUAAAACUCUUUUCUGAGGGAAGAAGAUCUGACGGUACCUCAGGAAUAAGCAUCGGCUAACUACGUGCCAGCAGCCGCGGUAAUACGUAGGAUGCAAGCGUUGUCCGGAAUUACUGGGCGUAAAGAGCGCGCAGGCGGCACUUUAAGUAGGGCGUGAAAUCUCUCGGCUUAACUGAGAGGGGUCGUCCUAAACUGGAGAGCUAACGAGGGCAGGAGAGGAAAGUGGAAUUCCCGGUGUAGUGGUGAAAUGCGUAGAUAUCGGGAGGAACACCUGUGGCGAAGGCGACUUUCUGGCCUGUUCCUGACGCUGAGGCGCGAAGGCUAGGGGAGCGAACG
rnacentral:rRNA from 1 species